rnacentral:rRNA from 1 species
UCCGUAGGUGAACCUGCGGAAGGAUCAUUACCGAGUGCGGGCCCUCUGGGUCCAACCUCCCAUCCGUGUCUAUCUGUACCCUGUUGCUUCGGCGUGGCCACGGCCCGCCGGAGACUAACAUUUGAACGCUGUCUGAAGUUUGCAGUCUGAGUUUUUAGUUAAACAAUCGUUAAAACUUUCAACAACGGAUCUCUUGGUUCCGGCAUCGAUGAAGAACGCAGCGAAAUGCGAUAAUUAAUGUGAAUUGCAGAAUUCAGUGAAUCAUCGAGUCUUUGAACGCACAUUGCGCCCCCUGGUAUUCCGGGGGGCAUGCCUGUCCGAGCGUCAUUGCUGCCCUCAAACACGGCUUGUGUGUUGGGCUUCCGUCCCUGGCAACGGGGACGGGCCCAAAAGGCAGUGGCGGCACCAUGUCUGGUCCUCGAGCGUAUGGGGCUUUGUCACCCGCUCCCGUAGGUCCAGCUGGCAGCUAGCCUCGCAACCAAUCUUUUUAACCAGGUUGACCUCGGAUCAGGUAGGGAUACCCGCUGAACUUAAGCAUAUCAAUAAGCGGAGGA